rnacentral:rRNA from 1 species
GCGUGGAGACAGGUGGUGCAUGGCUGUCGUCAGCUCGUGUCGUGAGAUGUUGGGUUAAGUCCCGCAACGAGCGCAACCCUCACCCCUAGUUGCCACCGGGUAAAGCCGAGCACUCGAGGGGAACUGCCAGCGUCAAGCUGGAGGAAGGCGGGGAUGACGUCAAGUCAUCAUGCCCCUUACGUCCUGGGCUACACACGUGCUACAAUGGCUAGUACAGAGGGAUGCGAGACCGCGAGGUGGAGCUAAUCCCAAAAAGCUGGUCUAAGUUCAGAUUGCAGUCUGCAACUCGACUGCAUGAAGUAGGAAUCGCUAGUAAUCGCGCAUCAGCACGGCGCGGUGAAUACGUUCCCGGGCCUUGUACACACCACCCGUCACACCACGAAAGCUGGCUGUACUCGAAGUCGCUGAG